CCGCACUGUGGGUACUUGCU
rnacentral:ncRNA from 4 species